rnacentral:rRNA from 1 species
UACGUAGGGGGCAAGCGUUGUCCGGAAUCAUUGGGCGUAAAGCGCGCGUAGGCGGCCCGGUCAGUCCGUUGUGAAAGUCAAAGGCUCAACCUUUGAAUGCCGACGGAUACUGCCGGGCUAGAGUCCGGAAGAGGCGAGUGGAAUUCCUGGUGUAGCGGUGAAAUGCGCAGAUAUCAGGAGGAACACCUACGGCGAAGGCAGCUCGCUGGGACGGUACUGACGCUGAGACGCGAAAGCGUGGGGAGCAAACAGG